rnacentral:rRNA from 1 species
GCUCAGGACGAACGCUGGCGGCGUGCCUAAUACAUGCAAGUCGAACGAACUCUGGUAUUGAUUGGUGCUUGCAUCAUGAUUUACAUUUGAGUGAGUGGCGAACUGGUGAGUAACACGUGGGAAACCUGCCCAGAAGCGGGGGAUAACACCUGGAAACAGAUGCUAAUACCGCAUAACAACUUGGACCGCAUGGUCCGAGCUUGAAAGAUGGCUUCGGCUAUCACUUUUGGAUGGUCCCGCGGCGUAUUAGCUAGAUGGUGGGGUAACGGCUCACCAUGGCAAUGAUACGUAGCCGACCUGAGAGGGUAAUCGGCCACAUUGGGACUGAGACACGGCCCAAACUCCUACGGGAGGCAGCAGUAGGGAAUCUUCCACAAUGGACGAAAGUCUGAUGGAGCAACGCCGCGUGAGUGAAGAAGGGUUUCGGCUCGUAAAACUCUGUUGUUAAAGAAGAACAUAUCUGAGAGUAACUGUUCAGGUAUUGACGGUAUUUAACCAGAAAGCCACGGCUAACUACGUGCCAGCAGCCGCGGUAAUACGUAGGUGGCAAGCGUUGUCCGGAUUUAUUGGGCGUAAAGCGAGCGCAGGCGGUUUUUUAAGUCUGAUGUGAAAGCCUUCGGCUCAACCGAAGAAGUGCAUCGGAAACUGGGAAACUUGAGUGCAGAAGAGGACAGUGGAACUCCAUGUGUAGCGGUGAAAUGCGUAGAUAUAUGGAAGAACACCAGUGGCGAAGGCGGCUGUCUGGUCUGUAACUGACGCUGAGGCUCGAAAGUAUGGGUAGCAAACAGGAUUAGAUACCCUGGUAGUCCAUACCGUAAACGAUGAAUGCUAAGUGUUGGAGGGUUUCCGCCCUUCAGUGCUGCAGCUAACGCAUUAAGCAUUCCGCCUGGGGAGUACGGCCGCAAGGCUGAAACUCAAAGGAAUUGACGGGGGCCCGCACAAGCGGUGGAGCAUGUGGUUUAAUUCGAAGCUACGCGAAGAACCUUACCAGGUCUUGACAUACUAUGCAAAUCUAAGAGAUUAGACGUUCCCUUCGGGGACAUGGAUACAGGUGGUGCAUGGUUGUCGUCAGCUCGUGUCGUGAGAUGUUGGGUUAAGUCCCGCAACGAGCGCAACCCUUAUUAUCAGUUGCCAGCAUUAAGUUGGGCACUCUGGUGAGACUGCCGGUGACAAACCGGAGGAAGGUGGGGAUGACGUCAAAUCAUCAUGCCCCUUAUGACCUGGGCUACACACGUGCUACAAUGGAUGGUACAACGAGUUGCGAACUCGCGAGAGUAAGCUAAUCUCUUAAAGCCAUUCUCAGUUCGGAUUGUAGGCUGCAACUCGCCUACAUGAAGUCGGAAUCGCUAGUAAUCGCGGAUCAGCAUGCCGGGGUGGAAUACGUUCCCGGGCCUUGUACACACCGCCCGUCACACCAUGAGAGUUUGUAACACUCAAAGUCGGUGGGGUAACCUUUUAGGAACCAGCCGCCUAAGGUGGGACAGAUGAUUAGGGUGAAGUCGU